rnacentral:lncRNA from 1 species
UGCAAUGGAGCCUCCAAGUUUUCCUGGAUUCACGGUUGGUAAAAAUUUCUGGAAUCUGGUUAGUGUGAUCCAGGUGAAUUUGAUUUCGCCCAUCCUUGCCAUUAUAACAUGCAGACAUUCUAUCUUCUGCACACUGACAAAGGUUCAAGAAGCAAGAUGCUAACUCCUUCCACACAUCNUUGCCAUUAUAACAUGCAGACAUUCUAUCUUCUGCACACUGACAAAGGUUCAAGAAGCAAGAUGCUAACUCCUUCCACACAUCACAUUUUGCAUAUAUAGCAUCCAAGUGUAAUGCUAUCAUUUCCGUCAGUUUUUCAGUGUCAUAAUACCCUGCCAUUAAGUAUACAAACAACAUGGUUUUACCUAAAGGUUAGUUUCAGAAACGUGGGUCACCAGUUUUCUCAUUCCAAUAACAAAUAUAGUAAUAUAAAGCAGAAGACAACUAAAUCGAAAUACAGAUUCCUCAAAAAUUCUUUAGCAAUGAACAAGUAACAGAAUUUCAUGGUAAAUAACAUGACAUAACGUAGAAUACCUAAACUAUUCAACACUAAUCUUAUUAAAAAGUUGUCUGGAUAACGACACAAUCUCCAUAAGGCCUUAAGAAAAAUACAAGUAGAAAUUAAUAUCAUACCAUGUUGCUGCAUGACAACAAGUCUAACCAAUGAGUCGUUGCAUGUUGGAUCCUUCCUCAUGAU